rnacentral:rRNA from 1 species
UACGAAGGGGGCUAGCGUUGCUCGGAAUGACUGGGCGUAAAGGGCGCGUAGGCGGAUGGCACAGUCAGAUGUGAAAUUCCUGGGCUUAACCUGGGGGCUGCAUUUGAGACGUGUGAUCUGGAGUGAGGAAGAGGGUUGUGGAAUUCCCAGUGUAGAGGUGAAAUUCGUAGAUAUUGGGAAGAACACCGGUGGCGAAGGCGGCGACCUGGUCCUUAACUGACGCUGAGGCGCGAAAGCGUGGGGAUCAAACAGG